UUCGGACAACAGCCUACUUGUAAUCUAUCACUCAUAAAUGCUGAAUCAAUUCCAGGCUUGGAUUUGGUGGUCUGGGAUGGGGAGAGCUACUUUUUGAAGCUUGCAAACUUGUGGGCAAAUCUAAUAGACCGCGAUCCUCCAUUCAUUCAGCACCCAAAUAAUAGGUGAUAAGAGGGUUGAGUUGAUUUGUAUGAUAGUCUGGAUGAUGUGGCUGUUGCUAUUUUCUCCAAACAAGGUUUCGUCAGCUUUCGUCCCAGAUGCUUGUCCGUGUCGAUGUUUAAUAGGAAACACUAGAUAAUUUCACUUCUUGAGAUGAAAGUAAGAAAGGAGAAUACUUUCUGGCCUUUCAAGAAGAUCCAAAUAAAUCCAUCUGGGUCUCUUGGGAACCAUUCUUUAGAACAGCCGCUACAUAGCAAUUGAAGAUGUUUGAUAUUUGUAUCAUAUGGUGCCCAGAACUGGAUGGAUUCAGAGCACCGCAUUGAUAGAUAGAAAUUUCCUUUUAUUCCUUCUGGUUCUUGUUUAGAUGUGAUAUUUCUAGUUCAGAAUCCCAGAAUCAGAGUGAGGUUUGUACACUGUAUAUAUAGGUUUUUUCCAGAACCAUUGUGGUAUUUUUAGUUUGUGAAGGUAAUUGAUUCCAUUUUUCCCAUUGUUUUAA